GACGGGCCGCACAAGCGGAGGAGCAUGUGGUUUAAUUCGAUGAUACGCGAGGAACCUUACCUGGGCUCGAACGUAAGAUGACUGUAGGUGAAAGCUUACAUCUCUUCGGAGCAUUUUACGAGGUGCUGCAUGGUUGUCGUCAGCUCGUGCCGUGAGGUGUCGGGUUAAGUCCCAUAACGAGCGCAACCCUACCUUUAGUUGCCAUCAGGUAAUGCUGGGGACUCUAAAGGAACUGCCUACGCAAGUAGUGAGGAAGCGGGGAUGACGUCAAAUCAGCACGGCCCUUACGUCCAGGGCUACACACGUGCUACAAUGGCCGAUACAGAGGGCAGCUACCUGGUGACAGGAUGCAAAUCUCCAAAGUCGGUCUCAGUUCGGAUCGGAGUCUGCAACCCGACUCCGUGAAGUUGGAUUCGCUAGUAAUCGCGCAUCAGCCAUGGCGCGGUGAAUACGUUCCCGGGCCUU
rnacentral:rRNA from 1 species